CCUACGGGUGGCAGCAGUGAGGAAUCUUCGUCAAUGGGCGCGAGCCUGAACGAGCCAAGUAGCGUGAAGGAUGACUGCCCUACGGGUUGUAAACUUCUUUUAUAAAGGAAUAAAGUGAGGCACGUGUGCCUUUUUGUAUGUACUUUAUGAAUAAGGAUCGGCUAACUCCGUUCCAGCCGUCGCGGUACUACGGAGGAUCCGAGCGUUAUACGGAUAUAUUGGGUUUAAAGGGAGCGUAGAUGGGUUGUUAAGUCAGUUGUGAAAGUUUGCGGCUCAACCGUAAAAUUGCAAUUGAUACUGGGAGUCUUGAGUGCAGUUGAGGUAGGCGGAAUUCGUGGUGUAGCGGUGAAAUGCUUAGAUAUCACGAAGAACUCCGAUUGCGAAGGCAGCUUACUAAACUGCCACUGACAUUGAGGCUCGAAAGUGUGGGUAUCAAACAGGAUUAGAUACCCUUGUAGUC
rnacentral:rRNA from 1 species